CAUAUUUAGGUUGUAUAGGCUACUAUAGUCCUGCAUAACUACCUGCGCCUUUUGUUAUCCACUGAAUCUUCUGUUUCAUCGGACGAAAGUGAAGACAUCUUUAGCCUCCAUAGCGUCAGCCGCAAUGAUUUAAAUACGGCCAAUGCAUCACCACAAGAGGCGUUGCAAAACAGAAACAUAUUGCAUUGAAUAUGGGGCUUUUCUUUUGUUUUUGGAAAUCCAUAAGCGGCCAUUAACCGUUAUUAUUCUUUUGGAAACACUUAAGAUGUGAAGUGCAAUGAAGAAUUUAGAUAUGAAGACCACUACUAUUUUAUUUUCAUUUUGUAAAUUUUCUCGUUGAAUGCAGCGAAGCUGAAGUUAUAUGCAUUUGCUUGAUUUCUGUCAUACGAAUUUAAAUUUCCACUAAUCGUUACCCCAAGUACUUUACUGGCUCGGUGGCAGUCAAUACAUAGCAAAGGAAUCGCGAAGGCGUUGCAGUAGAUUCGCCGAGGGUCAUGGGACAAUAUUUUUUAUUUUUAGAUGUCAGCUUUUUAGCUGUCAAUAGCAUAUAAUACUACUUUUCGUGAGCUUAAAGGGAAUCUUUUUUCAAAAUCAAAUCUUUUUUUGUAUUUAUAUUUUUUUUUUGUUUUCAUUUGGCUUAUAUUUCGACAUAAAUCAGAAAUAAACUUUGGAAGCUAAUAGAAGUCAAAUUAUCUACCAAAUGAAAACAAAUACAAAAACUAAAACUUUGUUCGCUUUAAAUUCUAAUCAAAAGCUCACCAAAACCAACUCAAAAGUUCAUCUUUGAAAUGAAUUGGGGUGUUCACAGUUCGUUCCAAAUGGUGUCUCAAAAUGUAGACGUGAACACCCCAAAUAUUGUUAAGAUAAUAAAUGUACGGACUGAAAAAGUCACAAAGUGUUGCCAUGACUUAAAAAUGCAGCAAGAUCUCAUUCAAAUGUAUACAUACUGCUAGUUCUGUACUUGUUUACUGGCAAUCAAAAGCGAGUGUAUGGUGUUUUUUGUUUAAUAUUUGCAAUGUUUUUCAAGUUAAAUAUUUUUUUG